AACGAACGCUGGCGGCAUGCCUAACACAUGCAAGUCGAACGAGACCUUCGGGUCUAGUGGCGCACGGGUGCGUAACGCGUGGGAAUCUGCCCCUGGGUUCGGAAUAACACAGAGAAAUUUGUGCUAAUACCGGAUGAUGACGAAAGUCCAAAGAUUUAUCGCCCAGAGAGGAGCCCGCGUAGGAUUAGCUAGUUGGUGGGGUAAAGGCCUACCAAGGCGACGAUCCUUAGCUGGUCUGAGAGGAUGAUCAGCCACACUGGGACUGAGACACGGCCCAGACUCCUACGGGAGGCAGCAGUGGGGAAUAUUGGACAAUGGGCGAAAGCCUGAUCCAGCAAUGCCGCGUGAGUGAAGAAGGCCUUCGGGUUGUAAAGCUCUUUUACCCGGGAAGAUAAUGACUGUACCGGGAGAAUAAGCCCCGGCUAACUCCGUGCCAGCCGCCGCGGUAACAC
rnacentral:rRNA from 1 species